rnacentral:rRNA from 1 species
AGAGAUUUGAGUGUGCUCGAAAGAGAAUCUGAACACAGGUGCUGCAUGGCUGUCGUCAGCUCGUGUCGUGAGAUGUUGGGUUAAGUCCCGCAACGAGCGCAACCCUUGUCAUUAGUUGCUACGAAAGGGCACUCUAAUGAGACUGCCGGUGACAAACCGGAGGAAGGUGGGGAUGACGUCAAGUCCUCAUGGCCCUUAUGGGUAGGGCUUCACACGUCAUACAAUGGUACAUACAGAGGGCUGCCAACCCGCGAGGGGGAGCUAAUCCCAGAAAGUGUAUCGUAGUCCGGAUUGGAGUCUGCAACUCGACUCCAUGAAGUUGGAAUCGCUAGUAAUCGCGGAUCAGCAUGUCGCGGUGAAUACGUUCCCGGGUCUUGUACACACCG